rnacentral:rRNA from 1 species
CAGUCGCCGCGGGAAUACAGAGGGUGCGAGCGUUAAUCGGAUUUACUAGGCGUAAAGCGUGCGUAGGCGGCUUCUUAAGUCGGAUGUGAAAUCCCUGAGCUUAACUUAGGAAUUGCAUUCGAUACUGGGAAGCUAGAGUAUGGGAGAGGAUGGUAGAAUUCCAGGUGUAGCGGUGAAAUGCGUAGAGAUCUGGAGGAAUACCGAUGGCGAAGGCAGCCAUCUGGCCUAAUACUGACGCUGAGGUACGAAAGCAUGGGGAGCAAACAGGAUUAGAUACCCCAGUAGUCCCUGUCUCUUAUAC